GGUUAGGAAUAAAAACCUAGGUAUUUAUAUCUAUACCUUUUGCUGAUUACUGAGGUUUUCGCCCGAAAUCGCCGACACCCCCCGUGCGGUUUACCUCCGUGCGAUGCUUCCCACCAUUCGCUAAGCUCUGGUCAGGCAACAUCUCACGUCGCCGAUCUUGUGGAGGGCAUCCGAGGGAACGCCGGAACCUUUGACAACCUCAUCGUUGGCGCGAGAGCAUUGGGCGACGGCUUCCGACGGAGGCAUAAAGCCUCUAAAAAGGUGAGGAUGGUUCUCAAGAUAUGACAGAAGGCCCUCGGACGGAAUAGACAAGGAGGCGAGAUGGAUGCAUGGUACUUUCCGCUGGUUUAGGAGUGCAGAGUAUAUUGGCUUCAUUGCGGGAGAUUAUUCCUUUGAUAUUCGUAAGAGGGAGGUUUGGGGAACUUAUUGUUCUUUAUUCACUAAAUCUUGAUGUUACAGACAUUUCCUUAAAUAAAGAUAGUUAUCCAUGAUGGGGAUUGUACUAGGGCUUUCCACUGAGCGGUUGAUGAGAGCGUAGUU